AAUCGAUGUGGACUGGUAGAUACUGCUCGACUUUUUCCCCAUAAACCGGACUGAUAUACGCUGGAUUUCUAGGAUCAUAAUAUGUGAAUCUUUGAGGGGGUUGUCUUGUUUGCACCACGCGAUUACCAUCAGUUUCGACUUCUGGGUGAAGUAUUAUGUUCUCAGGAUUCCUAUCACCAUGCAUAUUCUCUUCAGAGACAUUUGCUUGAGUGUCAUUUGAGGCCUACUCUGGGACCUUAACUCGCCUUAAAUCGCCCUAACUCGCCUUAUCUCGCCCUAUCUCGCAAUAGAAAUUGAUCGAAUUUUGCUUAACUCGCCCAAUCUCGCCUGAUCUCGCAAUGAGAAGUUGACAUAGUUUUGCUUAACUCGCCUAAACUCGCCCUAUUUUGCAAUAAAAACUGCCACAGUAAAACACAAAUACUGUCAAUCAAAAUUUUUUUUUUUUUUUUUUAUAUAAACUUUAUUAAAAUGUUUGCCUCAAAAGCCAUAGGCUUAUCAAGGAGGCUCACACAAUCAAAAUUCUUUAGACUCACAAUACUCACUUAUAUAUUCUAUGAGUUUGGCAUUGCAACUGACAUCAACAUACAAGUAUGUAAGCCUGAUUAUCUGAAAUGUUAUCAUAUUUUU